rnacentral:lncRNA from 1 species
CUGUCCAUGAUUUUGGAGGGAAGCUAAGCAAACAUAACAACACAAGACAAGGAAGAGGAGAACUUCAUUUCAUCAAUCAUAUUUAUUUCUUCUUCUACAUUGCCUGCCUUCCCCUUGAAAGGUCAGCUCAAAUGUCUGCAUCGCAUCUUUCACAUGUUACUCAUUGUAUUGUCAAAUCAAUUAUUUGGAAUCAUCAUUGCAUGCACAUCAUUAACUAACACACGCCCCCCUCUUUAUCAAGUGAAGAAC